CCAGUUUGAUAUAUGAAAAACAAAAUCUUAGAAUAUACACGUAGAAUUAUUGUCAUUGAACUUGGUAGCUUUUUGUCAAUGAGGUGUUUAAUAGCAAUAAAUACUGAACAGAGCCUUAACUUUUCUUGCAUCCAUCCUAAACAUAACAUUCAAUAGUCCUGUGUGCAUGGAUGUUUAUACUUAAAAAGAAAUUUCCACUGCAUAUACAAUACUUGAAUUGCAUAUGUAAUACUUGAGUAUGUCUAAAGGUGUACAUGCCUUUCAAUUACUCUACCACUUUGGGCUAAUCUACUACUACAAAUGUUGUAGACUCAGAAUGUCUGUCAAGAAAUAGCUCCCCCCAUAACACAAACAUGAAACCAACACUUAACUUGAAUAUUUCAAUCAUAGAUUUAAUGUAAACAUUGGAGUAGAAGACAAAAGUAACCAACUAUUUUCUGACAGCUCUGUCACCAACAUCCAUGUAUGCAGACACCUUUAAUAUGUACACACAAUAAAAGAUCUUCACAUAAAUAUUUAGUAUGAAUAAUGUAUUGUGAUACAUCACUCUGAUAUAAGCAAACAGUCGCAACAGUAGUCAGUUCUUGUAAUUUAAGAAAAAUUAUUGGUUUCAUAAAUGCCACAUUUUAUUGACAUACAAAACUGAUAAUCUCUAUGUGAUGGGUUUUAGCUGGUAGGGUUUGAACACAAAGAAAUAAACAUUUUUAAAAAAAUACAUCAAAGAGAGAUCACACAUGUCAGAUGGUUCAAAAUAACAAGUAUAAAUCUGUGUAGACUGUUGAGAACAAUAAUUAAAAGCCACCAGGUUUGUUGGAAGAAUACAAAAAAAAAAAAUUGUGACAAGUCUGUAAGAGAACUUGUGGGACAAAUAAGUGGACUGUACACAAGUGGAGAGAACUACAGAGAUAGUCACAUCAAAUUAAAAUGCUUACAAGAAUGAGGGUAUCCAAACAGAAGAACAAACUAGCAAUAAAAUAAACAUUUAUGAAUAAACCUGCAUUAUUUGGGCAAAUAGAGCAAUCAAUAUCAAUUCAGGAAAAUCAAACACAAAUAUUAAAGUCUUUGGGUUUCAUCAAACUGGAAAAGAAAUUUGGAAAAAAAAAAAAAAUAUUAUUUUGCUGUGGUUUCAUAACAAAGACAAAGGAAUCAUUAGUACAUUUUCAACUUAUUUGGCGACUCAAAAUACUUUUAUGAAACAAAGUGUUCCAUUCUAUUGUCCUUAUUGUUUCAAUGGAAUCUAACUGACAAUGGCAAACUAAGAGCAGAGAAAAGGGGAGAGAAUCUUUUCAGUUCCAUUAUCAAACUUGAUCAAAAGAAGUGGAAGAUCUAAAACCCCAGAUUUGGAUGCAAGUAUCAAGCUCCGGUAUAUAAACUGCAUUGAAGAGGAACUAGGAUUCAAAAGAAGUUUACUAACGUACAAAAAUGCCACAUCCAACUUGUAUCCGUGUUAAACUACAACAUUUUCAAAAACUUACAACAUAAUUUUUAAAAGGUAAAUCUUCUCUAUUAAACACGAGAAUAGAAUCCAGACAUUAAAUACUGCAUUUAUUUACUAACUACCAAAAAAAAAAGAGGAUUUCUCUCCAGAUGAUGUGCACAAUGUGAAAGGUUUGUUUCAUAAAAUGUAGACAAAGCUUUACAAGAAUUCUAAUUAAAAAUUCUGAAAUUGUUAUGUCCACUAUCAAGUUUUAUGAUCUUCCUUUGAUAGCAUUGAAUGCAGCAUAAAUAAAAAAAAAAUAAAAACAAAAACAAACAUGGUUUGAUCAAGUUCUGAAGUUGUUUUUUUUUUUUUUUAAGAAAAUACUUUCAUAAUAAAGAGUAGUGGAUAGCCAGAGUUGAUUGGUUCAUCAAAGCACUCAAAACAAGUCAAGGGUCAAAGUGAAUCAAAACACCCUCACUAGUCAAGGCAAAGUAAAUCAAAGCACCCUGACUAGUCAAGGGUCAAAGUGAAUCAAA